rnacentral:lncRNA from 1 species
UCUCUUCCUACGCGUAUGAAAUAGAUAGGUGUCGUGCACGUAAUAUGAUUGCGGUUCCGCGGCAUGGGCCAACGGAAUCUUCUCCGACGCGGACAUCUUUCCUUCCGCUCGUUAACGCGCCAACGGAUAAACUAAAACGUGUAUUGGUAUAAUAUCAGUAUGCUUCGAGGGAACAAGAAAAAACAGCAACUAAACGUAAGGAUAAAUAAACGAACAAA